UACGGGGGGGGCAAGCGUUGUUCGGAAUUACUGGGCGUAAAGGGCUCGUAGGCGGCCAACUAAGUCGGACGUGAAAUCCCUCGGCUUAACCGGGGAACUGCGUCCGAUACUGGAUGGCUUGAGUAUGGGAGAGGGAUGCGGAAUUCCAGGUGUAGCGGUGAAAUGCGCAGAUAUCAGGAAGAACACCAGCGGCGAAGGCGGCACUCUGGGCUGGUAUUGACGCUGAGGAGCGAAAGUGUGGGUAGCAAACAGG
rnacentral:rRNA from 1 species